rnacentral:lncRNA from 1 species
CGUCGGCCCCCGCGGCCGGCACCGGCCGGAAGCCCGCGAAGCCUAACUCUCGCGAGACGCCUCCUGAGUCCCGCCUCUCCGCGGUUCCGCCAGUCGCCGCGCUCCUGUCUGCGUUGCUGUGGCAGCCCCGCCGUGCGUCCGCGUUCCCGGAGCCAGCGCGGCGGCGCGCCUGUGCUCGGGGCUUGGCCGUAGCUUUUCCUCAGGUCCCGCGCGGCGCGCCCCUGUGUCGCAGGCGCCCUGCCGCUGCCCGCAGCUUUUGGGGGGUUCGGGGGCGGGGGAAGCAGGGCCGCAGAAGGCCCAAUCGGAGCCUUCUGACACCCGCCCCGGCCCGCCGCCCUCCCGGAGCUUCCGUCCCCGCCGCCUGGCUCCUUACUGACACGCGCGCCGCCCCCGGUCGCCCGUUUUCCCUGGGCUCCGGCCUCCUCUCGCUUCCAGCCCUGGCCUGAGGUCCUGAGGGCUCCCUGGAGGGGGCGGCUUCCCAGCACCCAGCGUUUAACAGGGCCCUUUCGGCCUCCCUGUCCCCCAAGCUCAGAGUUGGGGUCUGCAGCAGGGGAAAGAAGGAGGGAGACUGGGCAGCUCAAGUUCCCCAGACCGCACCUAUCAGACGGAGGGCGGCCCGCUCCCGUCAGAGCCCGACCUCGGCGGACAGGGGAGGGGAUGGGUUGAGAAGCGGGAGAAGGCCACUAGCUGGAAACUCCCUGACGACAGGGACACCGUUCUCGCCCCAGCCCCAGCGCUCGGCCUCCGCAGAGCCGGCCCAACGAAGGAAGAAUGAAAAUAUGAACGUGACAUGAUGUGGGCUUGAGAGGCCGCCUUGUUCUUUGGAUUCACCCAGAAACCUGACUGAAAGGAAAGUUACUGCAACUGGGGAAAAGCACAGUUGGCUGGAGAAUUUGGUUUAAAAAUAAAUAAGUUUUAAAUUACGUAACUAACACGUGCUUGGUGUAGAAAAUUUGGAAAACAUAUGAAAGUACGGUAUAAAAAUCCUCGAUCCCACUGCCACAUAGAACCACUAUUAACAUGUCAGAAUCGUUUCUUCGGGUGUUUUUUUUUCUUAAUGCAUUUAUAUUGCAUAUACAUUUUUUCUCUAACAAUAUAUUGAUGUGCCCCAGUCCCCCACAGACCCUAAUGUAUGAAUGGGAAUGGAGGCGUCUGAAAUGUGACUCACAAAGAGUUCUCUUUCCUCCCUAACACCCCAUCCCUGCCUCACCCCUUCAGCGCAUUCACAGCAGCACUGGGACUCCGGACUCAGACAAAUGUGCACUGAGCUGGCUGGUGCUCUCAUAGCCUCUGGCCCCAGAGCUCCACCUUCCCCUGCAGAGGGGGUCCCGGGAGUGUCCUCAAGUGCUCCAUGCCCCAUGUUCCUUUCCAUGGCACCAAAUUCUUCUGACCUCCUUCUAGGUGAGGGGUGAGGGGGUGAGGUAGGGGGUUGGGGAAGAGUGUCCCCAUGAGGCCUGAGGGGCCUGCUAGUGCAGGGGAGGAAGGGAAGUUCAAGCAAGCAGGCUCAACGGAGGGCUCCACCCUCCAGGUACGGCCAGGUCCUGGGAGAAGGAGGGGAAG